AGCCUGGCUGAAGAACACAGACCAGCUUCAUCUACCUGUAGCGAUGUUUCAGAGAAAAGUUACAGAUCCAAGGAAGAACCAGAUAACUUAAGGAAUAAUCAAUCGAGCCUGUCUGAAGAACCCAGACCACAUUCACCUACCUGUAGUGAUGUUUCUGAGAUAAGUCACAGGUCCAAGGAAGAACCAGAGGACUUCAGGAGUAAUCCAACGAGCCUGGAUGAAGAACACAGACCAGCUUCACCUACCUGUACCGAUGUUUCAGAGAAAAGUUACACAUCCAAGGAAGAACCAGAUAACUUAAGGAAUAAUCAAUCGAGCCUGUCUCAAGAACACAGACCAGCUUCACCUACCUGUAGCGAUGUUUCUGAGAUAAGUCACAGGUCCAAGGAAGAACCAGGAAAGUUCAGGAGUAAUCCAACGAG